UACGAAGGGGGCUAGCGUUGCUCGGAAUCACUGGGCGUAAAGCGCACGUAGGCGGAUUGUUAAGUCAGGGGUGAAAUCCUGGAGCUCAACUCCAGAACUGCCUUUGAUACUGGCGAUCUCGAGUCCGGGAGAGGUGAGUGGAACUGCGAGUGUAGAGGUGAAAUUCGUAGAUAUUCGCAAGAACACCAGUGGCGAAGGCGGCUCACUGGCCCGGUACUGACGCUGAGGUGCGAAAGCGUGGGGAGCAAACAGGGAGUUAAGAUAUCCC
rnacentral:rRNA from 1 species